rnacentral:tRNA from 1 species
AGCCCUGUCGUCUAGCUGGUCAAGGAUAGAAGGCUUUGGACCUUCAGACCCAGGUUCGAAUCCUGGCAGGGCUA